UUGUCCAUCCAUUUUUACAUUUCGAAGUAGUCUAGGAUGUUUAGCUAGAGUCUCAAUAUCUUAGCAACUUUACCUGGAAAUACUUGAGAGAUUCUCGCCUCAGGGCUUUGAUAAAGUGGUAAGAGCACAACCCGUGAUGUUUGAUGUUUUUGUUAGGCGCAUGUCACAGGCUACAGAAAAAAACAGAGGCGAAUUCAGGAUUUAAGCUCUAUGAGGUCCAACCUUUAAGUUUUUUAGCCUUGAACCCAUUAUAAUUUUAAAACUAUGGGUUCAUAUCAGCCAUUUAUUGCACCUUUAGUGAAGUUUUACACAUAAAUUUAUGUUCCAUGUCAAUAAUACUACAUGAACUCGAUACUUAUAAGCUCCAUCCGACCCUGGCAAAAACCUGAUAUAUUUGAGUGGAGGAGGAUAGAUAGACGGACCCAUCAUCCAUGGAGUUUCAAACCGUGCACCAUUGGCCCCAGUGGCGAAGCCAGGAAUUUUGCAAAGAUGUUCAAAGUUUAAUAUAUAUUUAUAAAAAGUAAUUUUUGACCUAUAUACAUAGUAUAUAUUUCUAUAUAUUCGGUAUAAUUUUCGAAUGAAGGGUGUUCAACUGAAUACCCUUCACUCUAUGUGGCUACGCCACUGAUUGGCCCACCGGGAUUUGUCGGUUAUCAAAAAAAAAAUUAAGAGAUACUCUUAUCUUGCAAGUUAAUAGCUAGAGUUUGUACAUCUAUUUUUCCUAUCAAUAUAUGAUUACUGUUCAAGUAGAAAUGUUCUGCUUCUUCUUUUUUGGUAAUUUGGUAAAAGAAGAGUAAAAGGUUAAAGUGAAUACCUGAAGUCUGUGCAAUUCAUCUGACAUUGAUUUAUGGGCAUUCAAGAGUAGUUCACUUUCUUUCUCCAGAUGCCUGUACCAAAAACAUUACUCAGAAACCAAAUUAAACACCCACAUACAAAACCAAGAAAAGAAAACAUCUUUCACACAAGCAGAACAUUAUGAAGAAAGAGGAAAGUAACUCAAAAAUAUAACUUACUUCAAGGUUUCUCCUGCAUAUUUGGGAUCCAUGAAAAAAAUCUAUCUGUAGCCACAAACCCUUAGUGGGUCGUAGGAAUUCGCUCAAUAUCAGGAGAAUCAAAG
rnacentral:lncRNA from 1 species